rnacentral:rRNA from 1 species
GAGUGAACGCUGGCGGUAGGCCUAACACAUGCAAGUCGAACGGCAGCACAGUAAGAGCUUGCUCUUACGGGUGGCGAGUGGCGGACGGGUGAGGAAUACAUCGGAAUCUACUUUUUCGUGGGGGAUAACGUAGGGAAACUUACGCUAAUACCGCAUACGACCUACGGGUGAAAGCAGGGGAUCUUCGGACCUUGCGCGAUUGAAUGAGCCGAUGUCGGAUUAGCUAGUUGGCGGGGUAAAGGCCCACCAAGGCGACGAUCCGUAGCUGGUCUGAGAGGAUGAUCAGCCACACUGGAACUGAGACACGGUCCAGACUCCUACGGGAGGCAGCAGUGGGGAAUAUUGGACAAUGGGCGCAAGCCUGAUCCAGCCAUACCGCGUGGGUGAAGAAGGCCUUCGGGUUGUAAAGCCCUUUUGUUGGGAAAGAAAAGCAGCAGGUUAAUACCCCGCUGUUCCGACGGUACCCAAAGAAUAAGCACCGGCUAACUUCGUG